rnacentral:snRNA from 1 species
GUGCUCACACUGGUAGCAUACAUGCUGCCAAAAUUGAAAUAAUUCAGAGAAGACGAGUAUGUCCCAUGCUCAUGGUUGAUGUGCAAAUUUGUGGGCAUGAGGAUGUUAGG